UACAGAGGGUGCAAGCGUUGUUCGGAAUUAUUGGGCGUAAAGCGCGUGUAGGCGGCUUUCUAAGUCUGGUGUGAAAGCCCGGGGCUUAACCUCGGAAGUGCACUGGAUACUGGAUCGCUCGAGGACGGGAGAGGGUAGUGGAAUUCCUGGUGUACCGGUGAAAUGGGUAGAUAUCAGGAAGAACAUCGGUGGCGAAGGCGGCUACCUGGCCCGUAUCUGACGCUGAGACGCGAAAGCGUGGGGAGCAAACAGG
rnacentral:rRNA from 1 species